rnacentral:rRNA from 1 species
AUUGAACGCUGGCGGCAGGCCUAACACAUGCAAGUCGAACGGUAACAGGAAGCAGCUUGCUGCUUUGCUGACGAGUGGCGGACGGGUGAGUAAUGUCUGGGAAACUGCCCGAUGGAGGGGGAUAACUACUGGAAACGGUAGCUAAUACCGCAUAACGUCGCAAGACCAAAGAGGGGGACCUUAGGGCCUCUUGCCAUCGGAUGUGCCCAGAUGGGAUUAGCUAGUAGGUGGGGUAACGGCUCACCUAGGCGACGAUCCCUAGCUGGUCUGAGAGGAUGACCAGCCACACCGGAACUGAGACACGGUCCAGACUCCUACGGGAGGCAGCAGUGGGGAAUAUUGCACAAAGGGCGCAAGCCUGAUGCAGCCAUGCCGCGUGUAUGAAGAAGGCCUUCGGGUUGUAAAGUACUUUCAGCGGGGAGGAAGGGAGUAAAGUUAAUACCUUUGCUCAUUGACGUUACCCGCAGAAGAAGCACCGGCUAACUCCGUG